rnacentral:rRNA from 1 species
GACGAACGCUGGCGGCGUGCUUAACACAUGCAAGUCGAACGCUGAAGCUCAUCUUUUGUUGGGUGGAUGAGUGGCGAACGGGUGAGUAACACGUGAGUAACCUGCCCCCUUCUUUGGGAUAACGCCCGGAAACGGGUGCUAAUACUGGAUAUUCACUGGUCUUCGCAUGGGGGUUGGUGGAAAGGGUUUUUCUGGUGGGGGAUGGGCUCGCGGCCUAUCAGCUUGUUGGUGGGGUGAUGGCCUACCAAGGCUUUGACGGGUAGCCGGCCUGAGAGGGUGACCGGUCACAUUGGGACUGAGAUACGGCCCAGACUCCUACGGGAGGCAGCAGUGGGGAAUAUUGCACAAUGGGCGCAAGCCUGAUGCAGCGACGCCGCGUGAGGGAUGGAGGCCUUCGGGUUGUGAACCUCUUUCGCUCAUGGUCAAGCCGCAACAAUGGUUGUGGUGAGGGUAGUGGGUAAAGAAGCGCCGGCUAACUACGUG